AAGGGGUCUAAAACUACCCAAAAACCCCAAACAAACAGAGCACAUAACACUUAAACAUGUUUGAACACCACAAAUCACCACAAACCUCACCUAAACCUAAACAUGCAUACUACCCAUACAAACUUCAUAAAACCUUUCAAAAUCAUCAAAGAAGCUCAGGAUCUUCACUUACCUCUUGCACAACUUGAGGAUGAAGGAUCCUAACGUGGAGAUAUGA
rnacentral:lncRNA from 1 species